GCGCGAAACCUCCGCAAUGCACGCAAGUGCGACGGGGGGACCCCAAGUGCCACUCUUAACGGGGUGGCUUUUCAGGAGUGUAAAAAGCUCCUGGAAUAAGGGCUGGGCAAGACCGGUGCCAGCCGCCGCGGUAACACCGGCAGCUCGAGUGGUAGCCGCGUUUAUUGGGCCUAAAGCGUCCGUAGCCGGUCCGAUAAGUCUCUGGUGAAAGCCCACAGCUCAACUGUGGGAAUCGCUGGAGAUACUAUCGGACUUGAGGCCGGGAGAGGCUGGAGGUACUCCCAGGGUAGGGGUGAAAUCCUAUAAUCCUGGGAGGACCACCUGUGGCGAAGGCGUCCAGCUGGAACGGACCUGACGGUGAGGGACGAAAGCCAGGGGCGCGAACCGGAUUAGAUACCCGGGUAGUCCUGGCCGUAAACGAUGCGGACUUGGUGUUGGGACGGCUUUGAGCUGUCCCAGUGCCGAAGGGAAGCUGUUAAGUCCGCCGCCUGGGAAGUACGGCCGCAAGGCUGGAACUUAAAGGAAUUGGCGGGGGAGCACCACAACGCGUGGAGCCUGCGGUUUAAUUGGAUUCAACGCCGGACAUCUCACCAGGGGCGACAGCAGGAUGAUGGCCAGGUUGAUGACCUUGCUUGACAAGCU
rnacentral:rRNA from 1 species